AGUCUCAGUAUAAACCGUAUUAAGGUGAAACCGCGAAUGGCUCAAUAUAUCAGUUUUGGUUCCUUAGAUCGUACACAGUUACUUGGAUAACUGUGGCAAUUCUAGAGCUAAUACAUGCAAACGAAGUUCUGACCGGCAACGGGAGGAAUGCUUUUAUUAGAUCAAAAACCAAUCGGCGGCGGGGCGACCCGUCCGCCGCUCUCCGAGAUGACUCUAGAUAACUUUGAGCUGAUCGCACGGUCUAGUACCGGCGACGCAUCUUUCAAAUGUCUGCCUUAUCAACUGUCGAUGGUAGUUUAUGCGACUACCAUGGUUGUCACGGGUAACGGGGAAUCAGGGUUCGAUUCCGGAGAGGGAGCCUGAGAAACGGCUACCACAUCCACGGAAGGCAGCAGGCGCGCAAAUUACCCACUCCCGGCACGGGGAGGUAGUGACGAAAAAUAACGAUACGGGACUCGUCCGAGGCCUCGUGAUCGGAAUGAUUACACUUUAAAUCCUUUAAUGAGGAUCCAUUGGAGGGCAAGUCUGGUGCCAGCAGCCGCGGUAAUUCCAGCUCCAAUAGCAUAUACUAAAGUUGUUGCGGUUAAAAAGCUCGUAGUUGAAAUUGUGUCCUGCGGUGUCGGUCUACCGACUGCGGUACGACAGGCACGUCUGCGGGGCUUCUCGCCGGUGCGUCCACCGCCGGUGCGUGUCGCGACCUUCCUAACGGUCGGCCGCGCGCGUCGAGGCGGGCCGUCGCGGCUGUUUACUUUGAACAAAUUAGAGUGCUCAAAGCGGGCUAACACUUGCCUGAAUAUUGUACGCAUGGAAUAAUAGAAUAGGACCUCGGUUCUGUUUUGUUGGCUUUCUGAUACCAGAGGUAAUGAUUAAUAGGGACAACUGGGGGCAUUCGUAUUGCGACGUUAGAGGUGAAAUUCUUGGAUCGUCGCAAGACGGACUAAAGCGAAAGCAUUGCCA
rnacentral:rRNA from 1 species